ensembl:lncRNA
CAGCUCUCUCCGUGUGUGAAUGGGUAUCUGUACGCGCUUCGCUGUGUUCAACGGGUGCCGCUGAGCCUCGGCAUCAGGCUGCACUCAAGCCAGGGAUGACUCAGGGUGAGAGCGGCUAAAUGACUCCAGACCUGCCGACAAACUGCGGCAUGAAUGUGCGCGGGUCGAGUCACCGGGAGGAUUUAAAUGGGACUCUGUGCGCUUGCCUGUCCACCGGCGCAUGGUUUUUGAGGAGCUAUGAGGUCUCUGAACCACAAUGACAAUAUCACCGCCGGUAUGAUGACGAGGGGUUCAUAUUGUGAAAAUUCCCUGAAUAAAUUACUGUGCC